GACCCCAAGAAAGGACACACCCCAACAGUGGUAUCCUCUCUCUCUUCCCGUCUCCUCUCACUCUCUCUCUCUCUCUCUCUGCUCCCUCGCUCACAGUGAUCUUUGGAUCGAGGGAUCGGUCGACGAAGCCGCGGUUCGCAACUCUCAGGCGUCGGGUGCUCUCGAUCUUUACGUGGAUUUGAUCUGAACCGGGUCGGGUUGCGGCGGAGGGGGCUUCCCGUUGACUUUCCCGCUCUGCUCUUGGAGGAGGUUCCGGCGGAUCCGGGGUGUCAAAUCUUGUCGAGCUUUGGAUUGGAAAGGUUGGGCAUGGAGGUUGGAUAGGGAUCUGUGGGAGGUGGGGUAGAAGUGGUGAUUUGAACAAGUUUGUGGAGUGAUUGGCGGGAUUGGGGAUUGUCUGACUAAGCGAAGGUUCGGGAAUCGGAGGUGCGAAACAUGAGCGUGGGAAGCAGCUACGCGAGUUCCAAGUUGGAGAGUGACAGAGUGCCGGAUAAGUUCCCGGUGGGGAUGAAGAUUCUCUUGGUGGAUGACGACCCGAUCUGCUUGGCUGUGGUUCAGCGUAUGCUUCUGAACUGCCAGUACGAUGUUACAACUUGUUCUGAGGCUACAAGAGCUUUAUCUCUGCUAAGGGAGAAUAAGGGUGCUUUUGAUCUUAUAAUCAGUGAUGUUCAUAUGCCUGACAUGGAUGGGUUUAGGCUACUCGAAUUAGUUGGUCUCGAAAUGGAUCUACCUGUUAUCAUGAUGUCUGGUGAUACAAGAUUCAAUGUUGUGAUGAAAGGAGUCAGUCAUGGGGCUUGUGAUUUUCUAACUAAGCCUGUACGUAUGGAAGAGCUACAGAACAUAUGGCAGCAUGUUGUAAGAAGAAAAUGGCUAGAUAGUAAAGAAAUAGAGCGUUCAGGUAGUGUUGAAGAAGCUGAUCGCGGUAGACAAGUCACAGAUGAUUCUGAAUAUGCUUCCACAGUGAAUGAUGGAAUAGAUUGUUCAUGGAAAUAUCAAAGAAAGAAAAGAGAUGCUAAAGAAGAAGAUGACAAUGAGUUAGAUAACAUAGACCCUUCUUCAUCGAAAAAACCACGUGUGGUGUGGUCAGUUGAGCUCCAUCAGCAGUUUGUCAAUGCCGUGAACCAACUAGGAAUAGACAAAGCUGUGCCCAAGAGAAUCCUAGAAUUGAUGAAUGUGCCUGGUCUGACUAGAGAAAACGUUGCUAGCCAUUUGCAGAAGUUCAGGCUUUAUCUGAAGAGAUUGAGUGGGGUAGCUCAACACCACACUGGACUUAAUAGUCCAUUAUAUGGAGCUUCUUCAAAUGCAAAAGUGGGUCAGCUGGGAAGAUUUGAUUUCCAAGCUUUGGCAGUCUCAGGUCAAAUUUCGCCAGAAACCCUGGCUGCCUUGCAAGAUGAGCUCUUAGGUCAUCCUCCUUGUAACUUAGCGAUGCCAACAAUAGACCAGCAAGUGCUCCAACAAGCUUCAGUGCAACGAAAUAAUAGUGUUACUUUUGAACGAGGAAUAGCAUUUGGUCAGCCUUUAUUAAAGGGCCAGGCAGUAUCCUCUUUUCCUGUUUGGCCCGCAAACGAUCUUGGUGCUCUGGGCUCUGCCAGCAACCUUGGAGGGUUGAAUACUUCUCAGAACAGUAACAUGCUCAUGACGAUGUUGCAGCAGCCACAGCCGCAGACUGUGCCGUCAGAAUCCAAUCAUGCUAUUAAUGUCCAAAGAUCUUGUCUGGUUGCCCCAGCAAAAUCAUCAAACAAAUUUCAGGUUCAGGGCAAUCCUAUGCAUAUAAAUCAGGACUCUACCAUAAUCUCCUCCCAAUCUUCAGCUAAUUUUCAACCAGGGAAUGCUGUUGUUCCGGUGAUUCAAGAUUCUGCGGUAGUUACUUCUAACUCAUCCACCAGUUUGAAGACGGGGAAUAACCUUUUUGUUACAAAUCAUAGAUCCACAAUACUCCCCUCUCAGUCAUUGACUGGCAUUUCACUGGGGACCGAUUCUGGGCUUCUAAAUCAAGGUUCUAUAAUAGUCCCUUCUCAACCAUUAAACAGUUCUCAGGCUGGGAGCAACUCUAUUCUUAGCAGUCAGAACUCCAUGCUAGUUCCAUCUCACUUAUCGGGCUCAUUGAGGACAGAUAAAAAUAUUAUUCCUAUCACCCAUAACUCAAGUUUGAAUAACAGUAGCUCACUUGUGAAUUACAAUCGCCUGCCCACCCAGUCAAAUGUUAUGCCAUCCAGCAUGAAGCAAGUAUUAGAUAAUUUAGCUGCAGUAGAUAGUUUCUCAGUUCCUGUAUCAAUGAAUUCACAAGUGUUAUCAAGUACAGGUAGCAGCACUAGUUGGCAGUUGCAUAGCCCUGACAUUAGCAUUAGUCAUCCAAAUGGCACACACAGUCUUGUGCCUAGUUCUUGUAACAUUGAAGCCACUGAUAGACUGUUGGUAAAAUUACCUGACAAGGGACUAGGGAAAAAUCUCGGUUUUGUUGGUAAAGGUACCUGUCUCCCAAGUCGUUUUGCUGUGGAUGACAUCGAAUCUCCAACAAAUGACUUGACUAAUAGUAGUGCUUACACUGGUGAUGAUGGAUAUCUACAAAAUCAAGAUAUUUUUGGAAUUAGUGGGACACUUCAGAGUGGACAUUGUGCUACCACAAGUUUCAAGUGAUCUCAUGAAAGUUUCAGUAAAGUUUGGCUGGAUGACUUACUGAUCAUGGCGGCAUAUCAGUUGGCAUUACACAAGAUCUCCAAUUGCUCUUUCUUAAGUUCUCUGUUGCUUGUCAUGUUGGAGCGGAAGAAAUCUUUAUGGGAUUCUUUUUUACCAUCCCCCAAGAUACCAAGUUAUCAAGUUGGUCCCCAGCAACGUAAUUAUGAGAGGUAGUUGGUGGUUAGAAAUUGCUUCGGUCGAUUAUGUUUGCAAGUUGUGGAUCGUAGAACGAAGCAUCGGUUGUCAGAGUGCAAAACGAUGUGAUGGAAGUGUGAGGUAACAUUGGGACCUGCUCAGCGGUCAUGUAAUUAAUUGUCAGUUGAUGGGCGUGGUAGAAAAAAUUGGUGUACAUUAGUAAGUAUGAGCGAGGCUCAUUGAUAACCUGUGUACCUGUUCUCGUCAAUAGUUGUGGUUUUUAUGUCCAUUC